UGAGAAUAUUAUCAAAUAUUGUCUAGAAGCAAGAGAGAAAAUAAGAAUGCAGCAAUAGAAAAAGAACGAAAUGAAAACUCAACAUAAAUCAUCACGAAAAUUAUGGAAGCAAAUUCCUAAGAACACCAUUAAGGUUUAGCAAAAUAUCUGCUUUCAUCCCUAUACAGUGUGAUCCUUGAAGUUUGCUACCUACUGCAUGCUUCAGUCCUUGAGGAACAAGAUCAAAUUUUUUACUAUACUACAGUCCCUAAAUUUAAAUUUGAUUAUUCUUUAAUAAAUAAAAUUAUAUUAAAUCAACUGAUGUUUAGUCCUUAAAUUGUAAUCUUACCUCAAAAUCUUACACUUACCAAGAGAAGCACAAGGACUGAAGUCUAAUUGUGCAGUACAAAUAAAAAAGUGUAUUAAGCUAAAUUUCUGUCAUUUACCCAAUUGUUAGGCUAAAUCUAAUUAGGUUUUGCUGUAAAAAAGUGUAUUAAACUUCUAUAAAUAUCUUAUACUUAUUUAUAGAACUUUUCAGAACUCACGACUCGAGAACAGAUAGCUUCCUGCCUGUUGUUGAUUUAUAAGGCCUUUGAUCUUGUACAGGCAGUAAAAAAUAAAUAAAUAAAUA
rnacentral:misc_RNA from 1 species